CCUCAGUAACGGCGAGUGAAGCGGCAACAGCUCAAAUUUGAAAUCUGGCCCCCAGGGUCCGAGUUGUAAUUUGUAGAGGAUGCUUUUGGUGAGGUGCCUUCCGAGUUCCCUGGAACGGGACGCCAUAGAGGGUGAGAGCCCCGUCUGGUUGGACACCGAGCCUCUGUAAAGCUCCUUCGACGAGUCGAGUAGUUUGGGAAUGCUGCUCUAAAUGGGAGGUAUAUGUCUUCUAAAGCUAAAUAUUGGCCAGAGACCGAUAGCGCACAAGUAGAGUGAUCGAAAGAUGAAAAGCACUUUGAAAAGAGGGUUAAAAAGUACGUGAAAUUGUUGAAAGGGAAGCGCUCAUGACCAGACUUGGGCUUGGCGAAUCAUCCAGCGUUCUCGCUGGUGCACUUCGCCUCGUUCAGGCCAGCAUCAGUUUGUCCCGGGGGAUAAAAGCUUCGGGAACGUGGCUGCUUCGGCAGUGUUAUAGCCCGCUGCAUAAUACCCUGGGGUGGACUGAGGUUCGCGCUCCGCAAGGAUGCUGGCGUAAUGGUCAUCAGCGACCCGUCUUGAAACACGGACCAAGGAGUCGUCUUCGUAUGCGAGUGUUCGGGUGUCAAACCCCUACGCGUAAUGAAAGUGAACGCAGGUGAGAGCUUCGGCGCAUCAUCGACCGAUCCUGAUGUUCUCGGAUGGAUUUGAGUAAGAGCAUACGGGGCCGGACCCGAAAGAAGGUGAACUAUGCCUGUAUAGGGUGAAGCCAGAGGAAACUCUGGUGGAGGCUCGCAGCGGUUCUGACGUGCAAAUCGAUCGUCAAAUAUGGGCAUGGGGGCGAAAGACUAAUCGAACCUUCUAGUAGCUGGUUUCCGCCGAAGUUUCCCUCAGGAUAGCAGUGUUGAACUCAGUUUUAUGAGGUAAAGCGAAUGAUUAGGGACUCGGGGGCGCUAUAUAGCCUUCAUCCAUUCUCAAACUUUAAAUAUGUAAGAAGCUCUUGUUACUUAAUUGAACGUGGGCAUUCGAAUGUAUCAACACUAGUGGGCCAUUUUUGGUAAGCAGAACUGGCGAUGCGGGAUGAACCGAACGCGAGGUUAAGGUGCCAGAGUAGACGCUCAUCAGACACCACAAAAGGCGUUAGUACAUCUUGACAGCAGGACGGUGGCCAUGGAAGUCGGAAUCCGCUAAGGACUGUGUAACAACUCACCUGCCGAAUGUACUAGCCCUGAAAAUGGAUGGCGCUCAAGCGUCUCACCCAUACCUCGCCCUCAGGGUAGAAACGAUGCCCUGAGGAGUAGGCGGACGUGGAGGUCGUGACGAAG
rnacentral:rRNA from 1 species